ensembl:lncRNA
ACAGAAUGUAGCGUAUUCGAAUUGGCUUCUUUCAUUUAAUAAUAUGCCUUUACAUGUUCUCUAUUCCUUGAUAGCUCUUAUCAUUUAAAUGUGUUCCCUGGAGUUCAUGUAUUGGAAACCCUGUGGUGUUGGGAGAUGGUACCUAAAAACAGGUGAUUAGAUCAGGGGGCUCUGACGUCUUGAAUGGGUUAAUGGGUUUGUUGUUGAGAGAGUGGGCUUAUCGUAAAAGCAAGUUCAGCACCUUCUGCUCUCCUGCCCUUCUGAGUUCCACCAUGGGAUAACUCAGGGUCAGGGGCCUCACCAUCAGUACCUUGAUAGAGGACUUCCCAGUCUCCAACAUUGUGAGACAUAAAUUUCUUUUCUUUCUAAAUUAGGUAGUUUCUGGUAUCAACACGAAACACAGUAAGACAAUGCCUUGUUCCAUUUUAGUGCUGAAUAGUCCACUGUUUAGUGAUUCUGUCACCUACUGAAGAACAUGUUGGUUGUUUCCAAAUUUUGGCACAUUUGAUUAAAGUUGCUAUCACAUUUCAUGUUCAUGUUCUUGUGGCUUUCAAAUCCUUUGGCUACAUGAAAAUUAUGUCUCACACAAUAGGAGUAUGUUCAUUUUUUUAAGAACUUGCCACAUUACCUUCCAAAGUGUUGACCUAUGGUUUUCAUCUUUGCUCAUUUCUCCAUAUUUACAACAGACUGGCUUCCUCUCUAGGGCCCAUAUUGUCUGUUUUGUCAUAACUACAUUUUAAACAAGGCUUCCAGUUACUGUUGUUUCAGUAAUUCUUAGUUUAAAUUUGAGGAACAUUCCCUGAUUAACUUGGCUUGAAUUGAGUGUCUGUAUAUAACUGACUCAAGAUUACUUAGCAUGAAUAUGGCUGUGAAGUCUCACCUAGAAGCUGUAGAGGAGGGAAGGGCAAAGUUAUUCAAUCAGCAUUCUCUGAGGGUGUUCAAUUACAGCAAUGGAUUAUAGUGGGAGGUGAUGUAUUUAAAGAAUAUUAUCUCAUUAUGACAGUUUGGACUAUCCAAGAAGUGGUAACUAAGAAAGAUUUAGAAAUUCCUGUUGUUCAUUGGGAAUAACGCCUGUGAAGGAUAAAGGGAAAAAGGAACAAGGCUAUGCAAGGAAAGCCUACAAGUCUUGCGCUUAUGAAGGUAGAGUAGGAAGGAGGAAGACGAAACUGCAAUACAUCUCUGAGUGCCAUGGCCAGCCCAGCCAGGCCUGUAGUACAGAGCCCUCGGUCAGGAGUCCUGUGCUGGAUGGAAGAGUCCUGGCCCUGUUAGCCACAUGGUGCUCAGUUACUGACUGGAAGCUGCUUGAGAGGAGAACAACCUCUGCUCUCAGCUGGCAGGAGAUCCCAAAAGGUCUGCACCCUGGAAGCCUUGGGCUGACUCCAGUCCCUACAGCAAGUUCUCCCUUCCAGACCAAGUGGUGCACCCAGUGGCCAGCCCACCCUGCUCACAGAAAUCCAGCAUGGCAGGAGAGUCGGACUGCAGGCUGUGUAACCAGAACCAGUACCAAGACUAACCUGCUGAUGGCUUUGAGCACCCUGGUCGAUUGCUGCUAGGCAUGGUCCAAGUGCUUCUGGGUAGAGGCAUGGUGCACAGAAUACUCGGGAGAAGACGAGAAACACAACCAACAGAAAAUACAAAGCAGCAGGCCAACCAGAUUUGCCAGUUGCCAGGAAGAGUCUCCAGAUGUGCAAUAGGAGAUUUCCGGCCGGGCCAGAGAGAAAGGCAAAGGCUCCAAUCAGCAAGACCUCAUGCACCUGUCCCAGCAAAGCGGCUGUCUUUACUUUCUCCCCCAGACACCUAGACGGGUUUGCCUUUAAUUAGAGGACACUGUGUGUGUGUGUGUAAGUUUGUAUGUGUAUGUGUGUGUUGUGGGGGUGACGGGGUGUUCUUGGCAGGGAAUUCAUUGCCAGAGAUCCAAGAAGAACCUGAAGAGUCAUAUUUCAUGAGAUUGGCUUUCAAGGCCCUCAACAUCUUCUGGAAAUUUGUAUCCAACGUGAGUUAAUAGCCAUGACUACGGAAAAUCGGCAAUGGCAAUGAAAGUUUAUGGAGCAGAAUGGGAGUGAUGCUGGAACAACUUGGAAAUCAUACAGCUUAUGAACUUAGUAUUUUUUAAAAAUAAAAAGACAAUAUGUAUCAUGGAAAGAAACUGUCAUUACAUUGAUUAGCCCAUUUGUAGUUAACAUUUUAACCUGAAAGCCGUGGUCAUUUUUAUCAAAUUUUUUAUAUGUGUGUG